UAAAGGGCACGCAGGCGGUUCCUUAAGUCUGAUGUGAAAGCCCGUGGCUCAACACGGAGGGCAAUUGGAAACUGGGGAACUUGAGAACUGAAGAGGAGAGUGGAAUUCCACGUGUAGCGGUGAAAUGCGUAGAUAUGUGGAGGAACACCAGUGGCGAAGGCGACUCUCUGGUCGGUUUCUGACGCUGAGGUGCGAAAGCGUGGGUAGCAAACAGGAUUAGAUACCCUGGUAGUCCACGCCGUAAACGAUGAGUGCUAGGUUUAGGGGGCUUCACCCCUUAGUGCUGAAGUUAACGCAUUAAGCACUCCGCCUGGGGAGUACGGCCGCAAGGCUGAAACUCAAAGGAAUUGACGGGGGCCCGCACAAGCGGUGGAGCAUGUGGUUUAAUUCGAUGCAACGCGAAAAACCUUACCUAUACUUGACAUACUUGGGAUGCUUUGUAAUGAAGCAGUGCCUUCGGGAGCCAAGAUACAGGUGCUGCAUGGCU
rnacentral:rRNA from 1 species